rnacentral:rRNA from 1 species
UACGUAGGGUGCAAGCGUUAAUCGGAAUUACUGGGCGUAAAGCGCACGUAGGCGGGUUGUUAAGUCAGGGGUGAAAUCCUGGAGCUCAACUCCAGAACUGCCUUUGAUACUGGCAACCUAGAGACUGGAAGAGGUUAGUGGAAUUCCCAGUGUAGAGGUGAAAUUCGUAGAUAUUCGGAAGAACACCAGUGGCGAAGGCGGCUCACUGGUCCGGUACUGACGCUGAGGUGCGAAAGCGUGGGGAGCAAACAGG